UACGUAGGUCCCGAGCGUUGUCCGGAUUUAUUGGGCGUAAAGCGAGCGCAGGUGGUUUAUUAAGUCUGGUGUAAAAGGCAGUGGCUCAACUAUUGUAUGCAUUGGAAACUGGUAGACUUGAGUGCAGGAGAGGAGAGUGGAAUUCCAUGUGUAGCGGUGAAAUGCGUAGAUAUAUGGAGGAACACCGGUGGCGAAAGCGGCUCUCCGGCCUGUAACUGACACUGAGGCUCGAAAGCGUGGGGAGCAAACAGG
rnacentral:rRNA from 1 species